UCCCUGGUGGCUCAGAGGUUAAGGCAUCUGCCUGGAAUACAGGAAACCUGGGUUCGAUCCCUGGGUUGGGAA
rnacentral:tRNA from 1 species